AACUACCCCAAACCCUAAAGGCACCUCCAAGUUGCGAGUAGCUCAGUUUGGUCGCUGGCGGGAGGGAGGCGGGAGUAGACGACCCCGGAUUGCUGUGAGAAGACAGAAUGAGAUGGUAGUUUGCAGAUUGGCGUUUUGCACUUAAGUACCCAGGUUAAAACUGUCAUAGAAACAACAAAGUCCUUGCUACCUGUGGUGACCUGAAAAUAAAAUGCAGAACAAUCCUGCUAGAGCCUGGGAUCGGGAAGUCCUCACAGGAAGAAAGCCAGGAGGAAAGAAAGGUUUCUAGACCACGUGUUUCGGCAGCAGUGGCACGGUGCUCCAUUUAGAAGGGAGUUGAGCAUGAUACAGCUUCUGUCAUCUCUGCAUGUUAAAACAAUCUAAGUACAAUUGACUGAGAUCAAUUUUCUGGUUAAUGAUGAAGAUUUAUAGAACAGCAGAAGAAGUUGACUCCUGGUGCUCAUUUAGAGGAAAGCCAACUCUGCUCAAAGGAGGAAGAUAUCUUCAACAGAACAGGAGAAAGCCAACACACGAAAGUACAAGCAAGAAAUGGGGAAAGACACAGAAGAGUCCUGGUGAUAUAUUUUAAGUAUUUAGAGUUCCGGAGACCAGAUAAUGAAUUUUUCAGUCACACAAGCCAAUACAUUUCCUUUUUUGCUUUAGUUUCAAUAGGGUAUCUAUCACUGGCAUUUUAAAGACUCCUGAGUAAAGCAUAUGCCAAUCAUCAGAUAUUUAUGGAACUCAACUUUAUAAUAGACACUGAGGAAAAAGAAAUGAGACUUUAUGUCUGUUCUGGAGGAGCUCACAGUUUAUUUCCUUAAUAAGUAUUAUUCCAAAUCA